rnacentral:lncRNA from 1 species
AAAAAGAGUAGAUCUUUAAAGAGAAAACCCAGGGCUGGACUGCCAAAUAGGUGACAGAAAAGUGAUCCAAUUCUACCCCAUAGGGACUUAGGUCACACUCCUUCAUCUGGAGCCCAUAUAGAGCCUCAAAAUCCUUCUCUACCCACUCCUUUGGGCAACUUCUGCAAAACGCUCUGAAUCAGCCCCUGAGCUGAACCUUCUUUGCCAUCCCUGAAGAUGAGGAAAUGGAGGCCUACAGAACUCAGGCGUGGUGUUGCCUGGAGGGACACCUCAUAAGUGACAGCUCCGGGAAUCAGGUCCAGGUUUAUCUGAUGCUGAAGGCUGCUCCUCGAUAGCCAUCGUCUUGGACACUGUGAUGAUGUUCACAAAGAUUGGGAAGCUUUUCCUGCAAAUCUUCACCCGGAUCUGGGAAAAUUCUGCUCUCUGCCUGAGGGAUGCAGAUGAGGACAGUCUUGCUCCUUUGUGUGGCUUUGGAGGGUGUACAGGAUACAGAGAGAACGUGACUUGAAGAAAUGACACUGUCUGUGAGUCCAGUUUAUUUGUGGACUCCUGAGGCUUGAGUAUAACCAGAGUAAAAUAAACGUAUAUAUGGAAACUGUAUCUGUGAAUUGCAU